GCUGCCAUAGCUCAGCCGGUAGAGCGGCGCCAUGGUAAGGCGUAGGUCCCCGGUUCGAAUCCGGGUGGCAGCUCCA
rnacentral:tRNA from 1 species